AGGGCACCAUCAGGAGUGGAGCCUGCGGCUUAAUUUGACUCAACACGGGGAAACUUACCCGGCCUGGACACUGGAAGGAUUGACAGAUUGAGAGCUCUUUCUUGAUUCAGUGGGUGGUGGUGCUUGGCCGUUCUUAGUUGGUGGAGCGAUUUGUCUGGUUAAUUCCGAUAACGAACGAGACUCUAGCCUAUUAAAUAGGCUCUCGGCUUUUAAACGCCGGGAGGACUUCUUAGAGGGACAGGUGGCGGUUCAGCCGCACGAAAGAGAGCAAUAACAGGUCUGUGAUGCCCUUUGUUGUCCGGGGCCGCACGCGCGCUACACUGAAGAGAUCAGCGUGCUUUACGUUCCUGCUCCGACCGGAGUGGGGAACCCAGUGAACCUUCUUCGUGAUUGGGAUAGAAGAUUGUAAUUAUUCUUCUUGAACGAGGAAUUCCCAGUAAAUGCGAGUCAUAAGCUCGCGUUGAUUACGUCCCUGCCCUUUGUACACACCGCCCGUCGCUACUACCGAUUGAACGAUUU
rnacentral:rRNA from 1 species